rnacentral:lncRNA from 13 species
AUGUACAAUAACGUGUAUCCACUGUUAGAGUAUCAUACAGAAAAAUCCCCUGUGUACCAUCUAUUCACCCCUCUCCCCUAUUCCCUUAGAAACCCUUGGCAGCCACUGAUCCUUUUGUUUUUAUUUAUUUUUCUUUUUUUUCCCCCUCUACUUAACAAUAUCUCUUAUAUGAAACCACUAAUCUUCUUACUGUCCUAUAGUUUUGCCUUUGCCAGCAUAUCAUAUAGUAGGAAUCCCACAGUGUGGAAUAAUAUAGUAUAUACUGUAUUCCAUUGCAUAUGGGCACCACACUGUGUAUCCAUUUACUCUGUCAGAUACAGUGCCUUCCUGGGACCCACUGCAGGCGCGAAUUCCAGCGACUGGAGGACAGCAGGCUACUUCUACACAGACAUAAUCAAUUUUUGACUAUUUGGCAACUAAGCAUCAUUAAAAUCCUCUCAAACUUCUAAUUGCGAAGAAUCGAUAACAUUUGUAGAAGUUGUAACAUUUCUCUGAACAAGAAAAGAAGUGACUGACCACAUUUUAAAAGUACUCUGGCACUGGUGCUGUUUUUCUUCCCUUCCCUAAAUUUGAAGAACUAUGGAGAAACGGUACUUGAUGACAAUAGUGGUUUUAAUAGGACUAACAGUACGGUGGACAGUCUCUCUUAAUUCUUAUUCAGGUGCUGGAAAACUCCCUGUUUGGUGAUUAUGAAGCUCAGAGACACUGGCAGGAAAUAUCUUUUAAUUUACCAGUCAAAUAAUGUUAUUUUAACAGCAGUGAUAACAAUUUACAGUAUUGGGGAUUGGAUUACCCGCCUCUUACAGCUUAUCAUAGUCUCCUAUGUGCCUAUGCGGCAAAGUUUAUAAAUCCAGACUGGAUUGCUCUUCAUACAUCACAUGGAUACAAGAGUCAGGCAUAUAAGCUCUAUUCAUGCGUACAACAGUUUUAAUCGCUGAUCUGCUGAUUUACAUACCUGCAGUGGUUUUGUACAGCUAUUGUUUAAAAGAAAUCUCAACUAAGAAAAAGAUUGCUAAUGCAUUACGCAUCUUGCUGUAUCCAGGCCUUAUUCUUAUAGACUAUGGACAUUUUCAGUAUCCUUUACUGAUGUAGAAAUGAAGUCGGUUGCAUAUUAUGAAAUCUAGGCUCAAUGUGUACAAUUACUAGAGCUUGUUUAAACCAAAACAAGUCAGUUGCCGUUUAGCAGUAGACUUAAUGUAUUUGAGGCUAUUACACAUGAUUUCAUGUUUGUUUUUCACUUCUGUACUUUGAAUUUCUAUUUGGAAAUAGCUUUCAUCAUAUGUGUUAUUUUAAAAUCACAUAGGAGAUAUGUUCUAUUAAAUGCAAGCUUUGUCUUUUUGAAAAAAUAAAAAUAAAUAAAUAAAUAAUCUUCCUGCUCCU